AUUGGUGAAGGUGCAGCCUCAGUAGCUGUUGAAGGCCAGAUAGACUGAAGGAGUCAUGAAGAGAAACCGAGGCUCGGCAUCAUGAAUAAAUCCUAGGACAUUGGUAAAAGCACAGCCCAGUUGCAGUCAAAGAUCCCAGCAUUGUGGAGAUGCCAGUACCUUGGCAUGAUCACCAAGAGCAGCAGUGGCCAUAGAAUGGCGCCUACCCGAGCUUAGAGGACAAGCUGUGUGUGCUACAGAGGAGCUGGAGAAGUGGCCCAAGCCCCUUGUAGGAGGCCAGAAGAUGGUUAGUGAAUCCCAGGUGGCGCCACCUCUGUUUGUAAACUCCAAUCCAGAGCUGUAGUUGUUUCUCCUUUUGGCCCUACACUGUAGAACCAAAGCCGUGCCCAACAGAAGUAGCCUCACCCUGAGUGUCUGAAGCCAGUAUACACGUGAUAUGCUCAAGAAGGACACUUUGCAGCCCAGUAGAAAAGAAUAUGCAAUCAAUCUGUGGGGAACAAAGUCAAUAUUUUGGAAAAACGAAACCUAGCUUAAGAGGAAAAGCCAUUCAUUCAUUUAUGUCCACAUCAACUGUUCACUGAGUGUCAAGUACUUACGUGGUAGUGGUUGUCACUACAGGAACCUAAGCUUUGCUUCCUAUCAGACUCACACGUGUUCAGGCAUAACUUGAGGGACUGGCAGGGAGCAGGCAGGAAUAAGUGUUUGCAUGGAGGAUCAGAAAACCUCCUUGAAAAAUAAAAAUUCAUCCUAGGGGGAAAUAAAAGGUCGAGAAGGGUGAGUUCGGUUAAAGGGAUGCUGGCAAAUCCUAAAUCCAGAAGGAAGACGAGAUUCUGAGCAUGCCGCGUGCCUCUGAAAUGUGACAUCAUCCAAAUCUCAUUAUCUAACAUGAUUAAAGUUGUUGGAUGUCAGGGCUGAAUCAUAAGCGAGCAUGUGCGACUCAGAAGAGCCAGUGCUCUGUGAUUGCUGUGAGGCGAGAAGAGACGAGCAGGAGGCAUUGGCAACGUUGGGGCCAUGGUGCUUGCAGCAUUAGUGGCACACAGAACUGGCAAGGAUCAUGAUGGGGAUGCCAGCCCCAGUGACGGCUGCUGCUUCUGUGACCAAGGCACUGAGAAACAUGACCUUGGCAAUGCCAAUGUAAUCGCUACAUUCCCCUCUCCUGUCCUUUUAGGAUGGCACCAUAGAAGAAAAGAAGAGCCAGUGAGAAUUUCUCCAUUUCCUUCCUAGAUGAUUAAAUUCUUUUCUAAAGCAAGAUGAUCCUGGA
rnacentral:lncRNA from 1 species